GACGAACGCUGGCGGCGUGCUUAACACAUGCAAGUCGAACGGAAAGGCCUCUUUCGUGGGGUACGCGAGUGGCGAACGGGUGAGUAACACGUGAGUAACCUGCCCUUUACUUUUGGAUAACUUCAGAAAACUGGGGCUAAUACCGGAUAGGAGCUCCUGCUGCAUGGUGGGGGUUGUAAAGUUUCGGCGGUUGGGGAUGGACUCGCGGCUUUUCUGCUUGUUUGUGGGGGAGUGGCUUACCAAGGCCUUUACGGGUAGCCGGGCUGGGAGGGUGACCGGCCCAAAUGGGAAUUGGAUAAGGGCCAGAACCCUACCGGAGGGAGCAGGGGGGAAUAUUGGAAAAUGGGUGGAAGCCCGAUGCAGCCAAGCCGGGGGGGGGAUGACGGGCUUCGGGUUGGAAACCGCUUUCGCUCAUGAAGAAGCUUUGUGUGACGGUAGUGGGUAAAGAAGCACCGGCUAACUACGUG
rnacentral:rRNA from 1 species